CUGGCUGCCUCCCUGCUAGCGCAGAAAAUAAAACUUGCAUUUUAAGCUUCUGUCUCUGAAGUGAGUUUUCUAGGCUUCCACCCCGAACCCAACAUUUUGAUGCAUGAACUGCGAAGCCAAGAGCUCACGUCUGUUUUGGGGUGCCCCAUCGGUAAGUCUGAACCUCUUGUGAGGUACCAAUUUGGUACCGGUGCUCAAACUUGUAAUUUGUAACCUGUUUUGGGGAUGCCCUUUAUGUGUUUUGAGAAUUUGUUCAGUAGUAACGUUUUGAGACCUAAAAGAGGAGAGCUGGAUGCAGCACAUCUCCUAAGGUCGGAGGAGGUCCGGAGACGUCUGAGCCCUCUCUGGUUCCCCUUGGGGAACGUUUGGAAUCUGUCUGUUCGGGGAACAUUUGGAAUUGGUUCAACCGUAUGUUGUCGAAGUCUUGCGACUGUCCUUUUGUCUUGCUCAUCUGACCAUCUGCCUGCUCUACUGUCAAAUUUUCUUUCUAUCUUUAUAUUGUCAAAUUGUUUUGUUGCCAAAUUUUGUUUCUGUCUUUACUUCAUCAGCUUGUUGUUGGAAUUUCGGGACUUUGUCUAUCCUGGAAAACUCAUUAUGUCCUGCUACUUUAAAUCCAAGGGCUCAUUUAACUUGUCUGAUUAAUUUGCUGUCUGAAAUAUUAUCUUCGGAUCGCCUGGGGAUCCAGUCCAGGCCCCGUACGCUGUUGUCUGGAUUUUCCUGGUCUUCUCACGGGCUCAGUUGUGGGACAUCCGGUUCUGUCUUUGGGCAUGCUGGUCUGUUCAUGUCUGUCAGUUUAUGCCCAUAGUUUCGUUUAGUUUGAUUGUUGCUCUGUGUUUUAUAUUCAGAAAAUGUGCCAAAGUUAAUCUGCUGGCCGUCCAGCCCUUGCCUUAGUCUUAAACCAUCUCAGAGAGUUUUCAAAAGAAGAAACCUGGCUGAAUCGAGACUACAAAGCUGAUGAGCUGGCUCUGCUCUUGGAGCCCUGCACGCACCAGCAGCUAGGAGUCCGGCAGCCUUGCAAGAAACCUUACCUCUUGCUUGGAUGAAUUGGAUUCAGCAAGUAGAAAGGUGUUCCUCCCUUGAAAUUACAGCUAGGAAGUCUCAAUGGCAUGAGUCUACUCCAGCUGUCUGACAGACACCUGUUAACUGCUUUUUCUAACAUACUUCCUUUUGUAAACUAAAAUUCAUAUAAGGUUCCAGGAAUGAAAAAAAGUGGUAAGACUUGGAUCCACCUGCCACAGAUUGAACAUGUACACCUGCCUGUUCUUGAAAAUGGAAUUUUCCCCUGGGUCUUGGGAUUCCUCAUUGUCCCCAAAUACUAGACAAUUUUAAUUUCUGUCCCUAGUCUAUAUUUGUCUCAGCAGAUUUUUACCUGGCUGACAAACUUCAUUCAGGUUAUCACCUGUCAACUGCAAGCCGAUAUCCACAUCCUAAUGUCAGAUUAAUUGAGAUAUUAAUUAAUUAAUUAAUUAAUAUCUCAAUUAAUCUGACAUUCAAUACAUUAGAUGUAUUGAAGAGAAUAUGUCAUCCAUUGUUUUACCUAACAGGCUGAAAUGCCAAGUCAAAAAGAAAUUCUCUGGCAUAAGGGACAAAUGGUUACCUAUAAUGCCACCUGACAUACCAGAUCAUAACAUUAAUCAAUGGAGUUCUGAUAAACUGAUGGAGAACUGGUCCUUGGUUCUGUUUCUCCUGGUCAUGCUUUGUGCUCCUUGCAUGAUAAACUUUAAUUCAAGUUUUUGUCCAAGGCCAUAUUAAUGCUAUUAAACUCAUGGCUUUGAAGGCACAAUACUACCCCUUGUAUACUGGAGAGAAGUCAUAAUAUUUGAUUUUGGUACAUAACGACAGGGGGAAAUGUUAGGAGGCAGUUUCCUGGAUUCAGCCAUCUCAGGAACAAGUUCCUCUUGAUGGCAGGGUCAAAAUUGAAUUUAUAUCCCCAGACCCCAGAACCUUUCUCUUGUCCUGCUUCUUCAGGUGUUUUCACAUUUGUCUGUUAAUCAGUAAGGAUGUAAAGAGGGAAGUUGCCAUUCUUUAUCUAUACUAAGGCACACAAGUUGUAAAUGCACUGCCUGUCUUGACUUAAAGCUUGCUCACUCCUUUGUUUCCUUAUCACUCUAAAUUCCAGGCCUAAGUUCAAAAGAGGACAUGACUGCAAAGAGCUGAGUCAAAGGAUCUGAAACCAGGUGACCUGGAAAGGCCCAGUCACCCCUUGCUUAACCCUUUGUGUCAAAAUAUGAUUGGUCAAUGCAACAGCCCACCCUGCUUCUGUUCCCAUCCUUUACAAAUGUUAUACAAUCUCCCUUUAAGGACUUGGCUCAGAAAAAAAAAAAAAAGACCAACAUAGUAUUGCAGUUCUGACCACUGUUGUCCUCAGUAAAAUUAAAUUCAUCUACCCCAAAUUACAUAGGCAUCAAAAAUUUCCAUUUGUAAAAAAUACUUUAAAAAUUUCACCCAAACACAAAAGAAUAUACCUUCUCAGUACAACAUGGAAACUUCUCCAAAAUUAACCAUAUAUUCAGUAACAAAGCAAACUACAACUAAUAUAACAAAAUUGAAUUAAUCCAUUUUAAUUUAUCAGAUUACCAUGGAUUAAAGCUGGACUUUAACAACAACAAAAAUAUAAAAAGCUCUUGGAAACUGAACAACUCCAUACUCAGUGACCACUGGCCAAGAGAAGAAAUAAAGAAAGAAAUUAAAGACUUCCUAAAAUUUAAUGAAAACGAAGGCACAGCAUACCCAAACUUAUGGGACACAAUGAAAGCAGUGCUAAGAGGAAAGUUUAUAGAACUAUGUGCAUUCAUAAAGAAAUUAGAGAGAUGUCAUACUAGCAACUUAACAGCUUAGCUCAAAGCUUUAGAAAAAAAAAGAAACAAAUAAAAAUACACAAAAGGAGUAGGCAGCAGGCAAUAACCAAACUCAGGGCUGAGAUCACUAAAUUAGGAACAAAGAAGAUAAGACAAAACAAAACAAAACAAAACAAAACAAAACAAAACAAAACAAAACAAAAACCAAAAAAACAUCAAAACCAAGAGCUGGUUCUUUGAGAAAAUCAACAGGAUCGACAAACCUUUAGCCAAACUAACUAAAAGGCAGUGAGACAAUAUCUAGAUCCACCAAAUCAGAGAUGAAAGGGACAUAACAUCAGACACCCAGGAAAUCCAAACAAGCAUUAGGUCUUACUUCAAAAGCCUAUAUGCCACAAAAUUGGAAAACCUAAAUGACAUGGACAAUUUUCUUGAUAGACUUCACUUACAGAAGUUAAUCAAGAUCAAGUACACAAGAUAAACAAUCUUAUAAAAUCUAUUGAAACAGAAACAGUCAUUAAAUUCUCCCAACCAAAAAUGGGCUACUAACAGAUCAUUUCGGUUCAGAAUUCUACCAGACUUUGCAAGAAGAGCUAAUACCAAUACUCCUCAAACUAUUUCACAAACUAGAAACAGAAGGAACAUUGCCAAACUCAUUCUAUGAAGCCACAGUCACCCUGAUACCUAAAACACAAAGACCCAACAAUGAAAGAGAAGUUCAGACCAAUCUCUCUUAUGAACAUUGAUGCAAAAAUACACAAUAAAAUACUUGCAAAUAGAAUUCUGGAACACAUCAAAAAUACCAUCUAACAUAAUCAAGUAGGAUUCAUCCUGGACAGGGGUGGUUCAAUAUACAAAACCCAUUAAUGUAAUCCACCAUAUAAAUAAAAUGAAAGAAAAAAAAUGAGUAUCUCCUUAGGUGCCAAAAAAUCAUUUGAUAAAAUCCAACACCUGUUUACCAUAAAAGUCUUAGAAAGAUCCAGGGUACAAGGCACAGACUUGAACACAAUAGAGACAAUAUACAGCAAGCCUAUAACCAAGAUCAAAUUAAAUGGAGAGAAACUUAAAGCAAUCCCACUGAAAUCAGGGACAAGACAAGGCUGCCCACUCUAACCAUAUCACUUCAAUAUAGUACUUGAAUUCCUAGCCAGAGCAAUAAUACAACUAAAUAAAAUCAAGUGAUACAAAUUGGAAAUGAAGAAGUCAAAGGAUUGCUAUUCAUAGAUGAUAUGAUAGCUUACAUAAGUGACCCCAAAAAUUCCACCAGAGAACUCCUACAGCUGAUAAACAUGUUCAGAAAGUGGCUGGAUACAAAAUUAAUUCAAAAUAUUUAAUAGCCCUCCUGUAAACAAACAACAAAGAUAUUGAGAAAGAAAUUAGGGAAACCAUACCCUUCACAAUAACCACAAAUCAUAUAAAGUAUCUUGGUGUAACUCUAACCAAAUAAGUCAAAAGACCUGUAUGACAAUAACUUCCAGUUUCUGAAAAAGAAAACUGAAGAAGAUAUCAGAAAAUGGAAAGAGGCCUCAUGCUCAUAGAUCAGCAGGAUUAACAUAGCAACAAUGGCCAUCACACCAAAAGCAAUUUACAGGUUCAAUGUAGUUCCCAUCAAAAUACCAGCGCUUUUUGUUGUUGUUGUUUUGUUUUUGUUCUUUCAAGACAGGAUUUCUCUGUGUAGUCUUGGUUAUCCUGGACUCAAUUUGUAGACAAGGCUGGCUUUGAACUCAUGCAGCUACUCCUGCCUAUGCCUCUGCCUCCCUGAGUGCUGGGAUCACAGGAGUGCAGCAUAGCACCCCGCUACCAACACAAUUCUUUACAGACCUUGAAAGAACCAGUCUAAAUUUCAUAUGAAAACCAAAACCAAAACCAGAAUAGCUAAAACAGUCUUAUAUAAUAAAAGAUCUUUUUGAGGUAUCUCCAUCCCUGAUUUUAAGCCAUAUAACAGAGCAAUAGUAGUAAAAACUGCAUGGUACUGUCAUAGAAACAGAUCAGUUGAUCUUGCUUUUUUUUUUUUUUUUUUUUUUUUUUUUUACAAAAAAAGCCAAAACCAUACAACAGAAAAAAGAAAUCAUCUUCAUGAAAUUGUGCUGGUCUAACUGGAUGUCAAAAUGUACAAAAAUUCAAAUAGAUGCAUAUCUAUCACCUUCACAAGACUCAAAUUCAAGUGGAUCAAAGACCCCAAGGUAAUACCAGAAACACUAAAUCUAUUAGAAGAGAAAGUGGGGAAGAGCCUUGAACUCAUUGGCACGGGAGACAGCUUCCUGAACAGAACAACAGCUCGUGCUCUAAGGUCAACAAUUAAUACAUGGAACUUCAUCAAAUUGAAAAGUUUCUCUAAGACAAAGGACACUGUCAAAAUGUCAGCUUACUGAUUAGGAAAAUAUCUUCACCAACCCCACACCUGACAAAGAGCUAAUAUCAUAUGUGUGUGUGUAUACAUACAUACAUCCAUACAUACACACACACAUAUAUAUAAAACUCAAGAUAUUAAACACCAACCCUACCAAUAAUCCAAUUGAAAAUGGGGUACAGAGCUAAAUAUAGAAUUCUCCACUAAAGAAUUUUGAAUGGCUGAGAAGCACUUAAAGAAAUGCUCAAUACCCUUAAGUCAUCAGAGAAACGCAAAUCAGAAUGACUGUGAGAGUCUAUUUUACACUCAUCAGAAUGGCUACGAUCAAAAACACAAAUGACAAGCACAUGCUGUCAAGGAAGUGGAGAACAGGGAACACGCCUCCAUUUUUGGUGGGAGUGAAAAUGUGUACAACCACCCUGGAAAUCAAUCUGACACUAUCCCAGAAAAUUGGGAAUAACUCUUCCUCAAGACCCAGCUAUACCACUCCUGGGCAUAUACCCAAAAAAUGCUCAAUAUACAACAAGUACACUUGCUCAGCUACAUUCAUAGCACCUUUAUUCAUAAUAGUCAGAAUCUGGAAACAAUCUAGAUGCCCCUCAACUGAAGAAUGUAUAAAGUAAUUGUGGUACAUUUACACAAUGGAAUGCUAUUAAAGGCAAAGACAUCAUGAAUUUGCAGGCAAAUGGAUGGAACUAGAAAAUAUCAUUCAGAGCGAGGUAUCCAAGACCCACAAAGACACACAUAGUAUGUAUUGUACAUAUAAUAUAGGAUAAACAUUAAAAUUUAUAGUCCUAAAGAAGCUAAACAACAAGAACCCAAGAGAGGAUCUUAACUCCAAACUAGAAGUAGAAAUAGAAUAGACAGAGGAAGUGGUUGAAGAGAGGGAGCAGGGUAAGAGAAGGAGCAUGCAGAGAAAUGAGGGUGGAAAUCAGAGUUAGGCAGAGCAGACACAGGAAGACAGGGCUUGAAGGGAGAAACCUUGGUCGAGGCUUCUUUGUGAAGCUGGAGACCUAUGACAGGGUUGGCUGCUAUGAGGAUAUGAGGGUCACUCUAGCUGAGAUUCCUGGUAACAGGGGUCAGGAAGACCGAAGAGGCUACCCUCUAAGUAGACAGGACUCCUGAUGGGGGGGCAACAACACACCCACGAAAAAUUCCACCUAUAAUUUAUCUUGCCUACAAGAUGUGCAAGGACAAAAAUAGAGCAGAGAUUGUGGGAAUGUCCAACAAACGACCGGCUCACCCUGCGGCUCCCCACAUGGGAGACAGCCAGCUCAUGACAGGAUUAACAAUAUUCUCUAUGCUUACAGAUGGGAGCCUAGCAUAGCUGUCCUCUGAGUUGCUCCAUCCAGCAGCUGAUGGAAACAGAUGCACAGACCCACAGCCGAUCAUUGGUUGAAGCAUAGGGAUCCUUGUGGAAAAGUAUGUGUGUGUGUAUGGGGAGUAGAAGGAUCCAGAGGGGACAGGAGCUCCACAAGAAGACCAUUAGAGCCAACUAACUAGAGCCCAAAGGCUCCUGUGGUGACCAUGCAUGGGCUGGACCUUGGCCUCCUACACAGAUGCAGCUGAUGGGCAGCUGGGUCCUCUAGUAAGCUGGAUGGAGGCUGACUGUGACAGCCUGUUGUGACUCUGUUGCUUGCCUUUAGGUCACUUUCACCUGGAAGAGCUACCUUGCUAGGCCACAGGGGAAGAGGAUACACUCAGUCCUGAUGCAAUUUGAUAUGCUGCAGUGUGUGGAUAGGUGGGGGCUCCCCUUCUCUGAGGUGUAGGAGAGGGGGAGAGGGAAAACAGGGAGGAGUUGUGAGAUUGGGAGGAGACAAGAGGACUAUGACCGGAUGUAAAAUAAAUAAAUAAAUAAAUAAAUAAAAUAAUAAUAAUGAAAAAAAAAAAAGAAUGUGGAAGAAAGGAUAAUAGGCCCCAGACAGUAUAGGCUGGGAUGAUUGCAGAGAACAGGGAAAAGGCAGUGGUUGAGGAAACCAAAACAGUAGAAAGGAAAAUGCCUUCAGGAAGUUGCUACUUUGCAAGCUAAUAAAACAUAGAAAUAAAGUGAGACCAUACAAAAUAACAAUGAAUACAAAGCAAAGGAAGAAAUGGCUAAAAUCACCAACUUUGGGCAUGGUUGUGGAUGAACCACAAAUCUGAUGUUCUGGCAAUGUUUGCGUCAUUGCAAAUGUUGGAAAACAAAUCACAUCUGCUUAAAUGGGGAAAACAUUACCCUACUCACCAAUGAUCACACUCUUUUUUUUCCUUCAACAUUCCAUUCAGUAUUUAAUUAUUCUGAAAAGUACAUUGUAUAAUUACAAUUUAAUUUGUGUUGCACAAUGUAAGAUAUUUUAUGAGCUGUAGUUCUCUCUUUAAUUUUCAAAUUAAAAUAUAAUUACAUCAUUGACCCCUUCUUUGCUUCAGCUAUUUCAAGUUCUCACACAAACACUCCCUGUCAAAUUCAUGACCUCUGCCUGAUUUCUUUUAAUUGCUGUUACAUAUACAGACAUAUGUAAGUACAUGAUUUUAGGGUUUACCACUAGGGACUGGAUAACAAAUUAGGGGGUCUUUCCUGGGGAAGCCACUUUUCUCCUGCUUUCAGUAGUUCUUUGAACCCUGUAGCUCUCAUUAUAACAGCAAGGAAAAUUCUCUUUGCAAACAAACAACAAAAACAAAGGAUCAUUACCAAAAGCAAACAAACAAACAAACAAACAAACAAAACAACAACAACAACACCUCACAACUGAUGAAAAUCUAGAAAGCAAGUGAAUGUUUUGUGCCAGUCCAUAGUUGAUCCAUGUACAAUCCAAUUUUUGCACUCCAAGGCCAGGAACAUUUGGUGGAUAUGGAAGGAAGAUUGUAAGAGCCGGAGGAAUAGAUAUCUGCAUGCCCUAGAAAUGUCAGGGAGGCUACACCCGUGAAGUCUCGACGUGCCUGCCUAAACAAAUCUGAACAAGCUUGCAUGGGAUGGGGAGAGCUCAUUGGGCCCCAUUAACCCUGGAUUUAAGAACAACCAGGAACAUGUUUACUUUUUACAUGAUCCAUGAACAACCAUGGGAGUACUGACCUGCAGUCCAUGCACAGAGGCCAAGUGGCAUCCCAUGAUCAAUUAAUUGAUACUUACAAAAUAAAAUUUUACAUGUCAUCUGGUCUAGGGAGAUUUUCUGUCAGUGCAGGCAAUGGAUGGAGCUAGAAAAGAGCAUCCUGAGUGAGGUGACCCAUAUCCAGAAAAACACAUUAUAUGCACUCACUUGUCCGUGGACUUUAGCCAUAUACGGGAUAGACAUAGUACAAUCCAAGACUCAAAGAAGAUAACUAACAAGGAGGACCCAAAGAAUGAUGCUUGACUUACUCUGAAAGGGAAAUAACAUAGACAGCGGUAAUGGCCGAAGAGAGGAUACAAAGCAGGAGCUUAGCAUAGCUGUCUUUGGAGAGGCUCUACCCAGCAGCGGAUUGAAACAGAUGCUGAAACUCACAUCCAAACAUUGGUUGCAGCAUAAGAAAUCUUGUGGAAAACUUGGGGGGGGGGAGAUAGAAGAACCUGCAGGGGACAAGAACUCCAUAAGAAGACCAUCAGAGCCAAGUAACCAGGGCCCAGAGGUGCUUGUGGAGACUGAAGCACCAACCAAGGAUCAUAUAUGGUCUGGACCUAGUCCCCCUACACAGAUGUAGCAGACGGGCAACUCAGACCUCUUGUGGCUUCCCUAGUAACAGGAGCAGGAGCUGUCUCUGGCAUGGACUCUGUUGCACACUUCCUAAUUACUACCCCCUCGCGGCCCUGCUUACCAGGCCACAGGGGAAGAGGAUGCUCUCAGUCCUAAUGCUACUUAAUGAGCUAAGGUAGGUGGUUAGCAGGGUUCUCCUGUUAUCUGAGGAACAGGGUGGGAGAUGGUGGAAGAGGAAGCGAAGGUGGGACUGGGAGGAGAGAAGAGAGGUGGCUAAGAUCAGAAUGUAAAGUGAGUAAAUAACUAAGUUAAUUAAAAUCUAAAAAAUAAUUUUGGGUGACUAGUGAAGGCAGCCAGUCUUGCCUGUAAGAGUCUGGGUCAUAACUCUGGGUAGACCAUUGGUCUACUGGACAAUUGUGGCUGCUGAGUGUACUGUUUCCAGACUCUAGUUUUCAUGACAUCGGGAAUCCGCUCUCUCUGCUCAAACCUAGCCCCUGAAAAUCUUCAGCUAACUAUAGAUUUUUGAGCUUGCUUUGUCAUUGCUGAUGAGCCCUGCCUGCUAUUGAUGCAGCAGAGAUGAAGAUCACAGCCUGCACUUGGCUAUAGCUAGUGGGAAAUCAGCAUGGGCUACAUUAGAUGAUCUGUACCACUGACUCACACUCUCUGUAAUUUCUCUGUCUCUUUCUCUCUUUCACGAAUAUAUGUGCACACUUCUCAUUGGUGUAUAACAUGGCUACUGUUCUAUGUGCUAAUUUAUAAAGACUUUGCUGAAGGUAAACAUUGUUAACAGGUUUUUGGUGGUUUCUUUUGGGGAAGUCUCUUACGUAUAGAUUAUUAUUCACAUUACCUACAGCUAGGGGUACUGUGACUUCCCAUUUACACUCCUUUAUUUCAUUCUCUUGUCUGCGUUCAUUAUCUUACUACUUUUACUCCAGUAGCAAUGCUUUGAGUUUUUUCCCCAUUUAGUAUUGUCCUGGCUUUGUGUUUGUCAUAUGUAUCCUUUAUGUUGAGUUACAAUCCUUUUGUCCCUACCUCUGCUGACUUUUAUGAUGAAGAGAUCCUGAGUUUUAUCUAAGGCUUUGUUUAAGGAUAUUAGUAUAUGGUUUUUGUAUGAGUUUAUCCAUGUCAUGAAUUACAUUUAUUGGUGAAUAAAUGUUGAACCAUC